CUCUGAUUCCUCCCUUUCUCCUCUGUCUCUCUCUUCCUCUGACUCCUCCCUUUCUCCUCUGUCUCACUCUUCCUCUGACUCCUCCCUUUCUCCUCUGUCUCUCUCUUUCUCCUCUGUCUCUGUCUUUCUCCUCAGAUCUCCAGGCUCAAAGCGUCAGUCCACCAGCUGAACUCUCAGUCAGACUGGUGAAUGGGACCACUUCCUGUUCUGGGACAGUGGAAUUCUUCUAUGAAGGAGAGUGGUUCGGUCUAUGUCCUACGUGGUGGAGCAUGAGAGAGGUUAAGGUUGUGUGUAGACAGCUGGACUGUGGGAAUCCUGUAGCUGUAUCUAGAGGACGUCUGAUUGAAGAGGGAAGAGGAGGAUUCAGACUGGGAAGAAGAGUCACACUAUUGAGAUGUGAUGGAGAUGAGUCUACUAUUAGACAUUGUGACAUCAUAAAAGUAAGACGUGGUGUCUGUGAUGGUGGAUAUUAUCAUCAUGUGACCUGUUCAGAGUCUGUGCGGCUUGUGGAUGGAGCUGGUCUCUGCUCUGGGAGAGUGGAGGUGAAGUCCAAUCAGUCCUGGGCCUCAGUGUGUGAAGCUGACUUUGACCGGCAGGAUGCAGAGGUAGUCUGUGGGGAGCUUGGCUGUGGGGCUCCUGCAGCUCUACAGGGGGGGCUCUAUGGAGGAGGUGAGGGUCAGACCUGGGAUAAAGAGUUCCAGUGUAAAGGCAAAGAGUCCCUUCUCCUGGAAUGUGACACCUCAGACAGAAAACACAACACCUGCCUACCUGGUAAUGCUGUUGGACUCACCUGCUCAGGUAAGAAACAGUUUGUCACUCAAUCAACAUUGUUUCUCACCUGGAGUGAAGAAUAUGAGAGACAAUAUAGGUGUGUUUUAGUGAGAAAAUAGUAAGAUUACUGUCUCUCUCUUUUCUUUUCUCAGAGCCUGAUGAUGUGAGGCUGGUGGGAGGAGGCAGUCGCUGUGCUGGUGGAGUGGAGCGGUACGACCAGGGAGAGUGGAGGAUUGUGGGAACUGACUGGAACAUGAAGGCUAUAGCUGCAGUAGUGUGUAGACAGCUGGGUUGUGGCUCCACUGUUUCAGUACUUCCUGGAAACAACACUAGAGGGUUUGGAGUUGACUGUUCUGGGUCUCAGUCUUCACUGAGGGAGUGUUACAGAAGCUAUGAUCUCCUUCCUGAACUCACAGUGAUCUGCUCAGGUAA